UAACUAGCAUAAAUUUGAUAAAUGAACAAAUAAAGGACUUCCCUGAAUUAUGUGGCCAGACCUAUGAAAAGCAGCACUCAACAGUUCCCUUCAAAGCUGUUCCCUCUGUUGCUAAAGCAAGCAUUUGGAGGUGAGCUACAAAUCCCUGUCUAGAUGAAUGGAAGUCAUUGUUGCUGCUUCAUAGUCUCAACCUAUCUGAAAGUCUCUGAUGCAGUGUUCAGGUGCCACCUGCAUACCACACGUGGCCAAAGGCAGACUUCACCUGCUCCCUGCUGGUGAACAGCAGCACUGCACCUCGUGUCUGACACUGGAGCCU
rnacentral:lncRNA from 1 species